GGCUCUGUAGCUCAGUGGUUAGAGCACUGGGUUUGUAAACUAGGGGUUGUGAGUUCAAAUCUCACUAGGGCCU